rnacentral:ncRNA from 1 species
ACGGAGCUCCUGAUGCUCGCCGGGGAAAGCCAGCGGUGCUGCCACCGCACUCCUUAAGUGGAUCGGCCCCCGGGAGUUUCAGGAGCUCCGU